rnacentral:rRNA from 1 species
CCUACGGGAGGCUGCAGUAGGGAAUCUUCCACAAUGGGCGAAAGCCUGAUGGAGCAACGCCGCGUGGGUGAAGAAGGUCUUCGGAUCGUAAAACCCUGUUGUUAGAGAAGAAAGUGUGUGAGAGUAACUGUUCACGUUUCGACGGUAUCUAACCAGAAAGCCACGGCUAACUACGUGCCAGCAGCCGCGGUAAUACGUAGGUGGCAAGCGUUAUCCGGAUUUAUUGGGCGUAAAGGGAACGCAGGCGGUCUUUUAAGUCUGAUGUGAAAGCCUUCGGCUUAACCGGAGUAGUGCAUUGGAAACUGGGAGACUGGAGUGCAGAAGAGGAGAGUGGAACUCCAUGUGUAGCGGUGAAAUGCGUAGAUAGAUGGAAGAACACCAGUGGCGAAAGCGGCUCUCUGGUCUGUAACUGACGCUGAGGUUCGAAAGCGUGGGUAGCAAACAGGAUUAGAUACCCGGGUAGUC